rnacentral:rRNA from 1 species
GUACCCGCUGAACUUAAGCAUAUCAAUAAGCGGAGGAAAAGAAACCAACAGGGAUUGCCCUAGUAACGGCGAGUGAAGCGGCAACAGCUCAAAUUUGAAAUCUGGCCUUGGCCCGAGUUGUAAUUUGUAGAGGAUGCUUUUGGCGCGGUGCCUUCUGAGUUCCCUGGAACGGGACGCCAUAGAGGGUGAGAGCCCCGUAUAGUUGGACACCUAGCCUCUGUAAAGCUCCUUCGACGAGUCGAGUAGUUUGGGAAUGCUGCUCAAAAUGGGAGGUAUAUUUCUUCUAAAGCUAAAUACCGGCCAGAGACCGAUAGCGCACAAGUAGAGUGAUCGAAAGAUGAAAAGCACUUUGAAAAGAGGGUUAAAUAGUACGUGAAAUUGUUGAAAGGGAAGCGCUUAUGACCAGACUUGUCCCGAGUUGAUCAUCCAGUGUUCUCACUGGUGCACUCUGCCCGGGUCAGGCCAGCGUCGGUUUCCGUAGGGGGAUAAAAGCUUUGGGAACGUGGCUCCUCCGGGAGUGUUAUAGCCCGCUGCAUAAUACCUUUACGGGGACCGAGGUUCGCGCUCUGCAAGGACGCUGGCAUAAUGGUCAUCAGCGACCCGUCUUGAAACACGGACCAAGGAGUCGAGGUUUUGCGCGAGUGUUUGGGUGUAAAACCCGCACGCGUAAUGAAAGUGAACGUAGAUGAGAGCUUCGGCGCAUCAUCGACCGAUCCUGAUGUAUUCGGAUGGAUUUGAGUAAGAGCGUAUAGCCUCGGACCCGAAAGAUGGUGAACUAUGCCUGUAUAGGGUGAAGCCAGAGGAAACUCUGGUGGAGGCUCGCAGCGGUUCUGACGUGCAAAUCGAUCGUCAAAUAUGGGCAUGGGGGCGAAAGACUAAUCGAACCAUCUAGUAGCUGGUUACCGCCGAAGUUUCCCUCAGGAUAGCAGUGUUGUCUUCAGUUUUAUGAGGUAAAGCGAAUGAUUAGGGACUCGGGGGCGCUUAUUAGCCUUCAUCCAUUCUCAAACUUUAAAUAUGUAAGAAGCCCUUGUUACUUAGUUGAACGUGGGCAUUCGAAUGUACCAACACUAGUGGGCCAUUUUUGGUAAGCAGAACUGGCG